UACGUAGGGGGGCAAGCGUUGUCCGGAUUUAUUGGGCGUAAAGCGCGUGUAGGCGGCCAGGUAGGUCGGUUGUGAAAAUUGGAGGCUCAACCUCCAGACGUCGAUCGAAACCAUCUGGCUAGAGUCCGGAAGAGGAGAAUGGAAUUCCUGGUGUAGCGGUGAAAUGCGCAGAUAUCAGGAAGAACACCGAUGGCGAAAGCAGCUCUCUGGGACGGUACUGACGCUGAGACGCGAAAGCGUGGGGAGCGAACAGG
rnacentral:rRNA from 1 species